CCGGGGAGCGGACGGCUGCGUGUCGCCCCGCCGCGAGCGCAGUCAGAGUUUAUGGAGCUCCUACUGUGUGCCCCGCGCAGCCGCGGCCCCUGCAGCUGCUGGCUCGGGAGCGGUGCCAUCUGCUCUGCUUCACCCGCAAGCUGGAGCGUAUUGUAAAUUCACAAUGGGAACAAUAACCUAUAAGUGAGUUCACUGUGGCAAGGGAUGGUUGAGGCAGACUGAGGGAGUCUGGUCUGGUCGAGCCGGGCAUGAAAGUUUUGUGAUGUUUCUCUACUUCCCGGAACGGGAGACUCCGCCCCCCCACAUGCUCCCCACCCCCAUGGUCUCACCACGCAGAGCUCACGAUCAACAGUUAAAAAAAAGCGAGUGACACUUUGGCUAGCUGGGUUCACAGAUAGAUGCAGUGCAGUCCCUAAACCCUCAACAUUGACUCAGUCAUUUCAUAGAGAUCAGAUCCAAAGCACUGCCUCCUUACAGCAAGUCUCCUCGAAUGGCCCUCCACUGCCCUGAAAGGAGAUUCAUGGAUUAUACAACCUUCCACUCCCCCCACCCUUGUAUUUCCUUUAAAUCAACAUCAUGCUCAAGGUUCAGUACAGUGGAGAAGUACAAGGUACUCAGUAACCAACACACCUACGGAUAACCAAACCGCAUUUCAAAUGUGCGUGCUGGGCCGUUUCUCCAGAACACUCAGAAGCCCCACAUUUCCAAAAUGCUCCAUAGGGGGUACGACUGCCUAGAUGUGCUUUAAGCACCGUGGACCCCAGGAAAAUAUGAAGUAAUGGAGGGGGUUGCGCUUUAUAGUCUAAAUUCUUCUAAUAAUUUAUCUUUAACGGGUACUAUCGGGGUGCCCCCAUCAGGUAUUACCACUCUAGCGCACCCACCACCGGUCACCCGUAUUCCACCGCCAUAGUCCAUUUUGCUUCCUUCCCUCUUUGUUUUUUCCUUCCCCUGCACCUCACUCCCUUGGUGCUUCAGUUUUGUAGUUUGCUAUCAAGGGUUAGUUUUUCAGCUUGUCUUUAUCUGACUAUUAAAUAGUUACUUUAUAGUCCAUGUAUUAGUCCCACCAUCUGGUAUUUAUCUUUCUCCUGACAUACUUCACUUAGCAUUAUCCUUUCAAUCGCCAUCCACUUUGCCGCAAAUGGCUCGGUUUAUCUUUUUUGACCGCUUUGUAGUAUUCCUCUGUGUGUGUGUGUAUCACAUCGUCCUGACCCAUUAUCUAUUCUGGGGCACACAGGCUGUUUCCAUAGUUUAUAGUAAACAACUCUACAAUAAACAUGGGAGUGCACGUUUGUUUUGUUAUUAGAGUUUGAAUUUUUGGAUAGAUGCCUAGGAGUGGAAUUACUGGGUCCGAUGGCAGAUCCAUGGUUAAUGUUUUGAGGCUCCUCCACACAGCUUUCCAUAGAGCUGGACCAGUUUGAAUUCCCACCUGCAGUGUAGGCGGUUUCCCGUUUCUCCACAUCCUCACCAGCACGUGAUGUUUCUGGUCUUUUCGAUGGGGGCCAUUCUCAAGGGUGUGAGGUGAUAGCUCCUUGUGGUCUUGAUUUGCAUUCUCUAGCGAGUGAUGGUGAACAGUUUUUCAUCUGCUUGCUGGCCAUUCGUAUAUUCUGAAUUCUUUUUUAAAAAAAGAUUUAUUUAUUUAUGCACACACGAGCUGGGAUACAGGCCAGAGGUGUGUGUGUGGGGGGGGAGAGAAUUUACCAGAGACAGCGUGGGGAACAGGCAGACUGACUGAAAUACACUGCUGAGGGGAGCAGCAGGCGGGUCAGGAGAGGUCUGCUGCACCAUGUGGGUAGCUCCCUGGCGGGGGAUCGAAUUCAUGCUGCAGUGAGUGGCUGUGGGCAGCUUCAUAGGUUGUGUCUUAACCCCUUGUGCCACCAGGGAGACCCCUAUUCUAAAUUCUUAGUCACAGUGGCUGUGGAAGAGUCUUAGAGUAAAUCAGCCUCCUGGUGUUUGUGUGUUUCUGUGACCCCUCCCGGACUGACAUAGGACUUGGUCACAUGACCUGUGGCCUGUGGGGCAUUUAGCAAUCAUGGCGCACACAGUGGUUUGAUAAGUGCCUGCAUGUUGGGGUUUGUACACUUUAAAUACUGAGAACGUCAUGUAAAAAAGCUUGUCUAACCUUCUGGAUGAUGAAAAAGCCUUUUGAGAGAGCUGCUGUUUCCGUUGGAGUUCUAAGGCAGGAGUAAAACCGGUAUUGCUGCUUGCGGCAGGGGAAUUCUCUCUUCCUGGGGGAGGGAAGCCUGGGGGGAGUUAGUGUUUUUUGAAACUAAUAAAGAAUUGUAUUUACUUAGGAGCAUUCAGAAUGUCAACAAAACAACUGCAGCUUUUUCCCCCUCAAUUAUGGCGGUAUUCCGUUAGCAACAAUUAUUUCAAAUAAGCGGCAUCAGAGAUAUAUCAGAGAUAAGUGAAGAUGAAAAAUUACCAACCACGUAUCUAACUAAUUUGUGCUGUGCACCAACAAGAACCUGCUUUAAAUUUCUAUGCCAGGGUCCAACCCCUGUCGUGGACCAGGCAAGAUUUUGAAGUUGAAUGAGGAGGGAAGCUGAAAAGUUAAGUCCCAAACUUCUGAAAGAUAGAGUUGUAAGAGUGGAGGAGAUGAAAACCUACCGAUCUCUCAAUGAAAACUACAGGAAGAUUGGGCCUCCCUGGUGGCGCAAGGGGUUAAGACGCAAGCUAUGAAGCAAUCUGCAGCCUCUGCAGUACAAGUUCAAUCCCCAACUGGACAGGAAGCUACCCACAUGGAGCAGCAGACCUUACCUGACUCACCUGCUGCUCCCCUCAGCAUUGUAUAUCAAUCUGUCUGUUCUGCUCCCUGCUCUGUCUCUGCUGAAUCCUCUCACCCCCCACACCUCUGGCCUGUACCCCAGUUCUUGUAUGCAUAAAUAAACAAAUCUUAAAAAUAAAACAACAGUAUGAAGGUUAUAUCCAAGAAAGGGCUGGGCUAGAAAUACAGAAUAAAAUCUCGAUGUGUCCUGGUACUUGGAAGACUUAAAGUGUGGAGUCUACAAGUAACACAAGAAUGUCUGACUCUCAGAAUGUUGGAACUACAGAUGGACUGAAUUUAGCGGAAGGGACAUGAUUCAGCUCUUAGCAGAAGGACAGUGUGCGGACUGGCCCAGCCACAUCUCGUCUCUGCAAGGUUGUCCUGUUUGCAUCCACCUUGUUGGUUUCUCAGUUACCUGUUCUGACAAACUAGUGGCCUUUCAUUCUUGUCCACUUUCAAGGCAUGAUUAGAACAAGAAAUUGCCAAUGAUGAGAUGGAAUGAGAGCCCAGGGUCUGGAACCGUGAGGGUAGAAGGUACACUUUGGAAUGGGAUUACCAAGUGAGAGAGAAAACAUGUCCAGAGAAGCUUGUAAAAAUGAGGGAAUCGAGGCAGCAAGAGAUCAGAGGACCAGAAGUGCCCCGACAGAGCGCCACCCCGGAGCCCUCCUCUAUUCUGACUUGUACUGUGAAGUUUCCAAUACUGUGUGCCCCUGGAAUGCACCCUCUCAGCUAAUGAAGCCCCAGAGUCCUGCAGUCACGAUCCCUGCGCAGGAGACUCUGGUUUUAACUCGAUUGGAACCUGACUGGUAUCUGCAGGAUAAAAGAGAAAUGUUGCUGAGUAGUGAAGAGAAUAUGUCCAGACCUCCGGCCAGAGGGAAAAGACGUAGGCGGGCAGGAGGGAACUGAACUAAUCUUCAUUCUUCCAGCAGAGAUACGGAGGCUGGGAAACAUCUCAUCCAUAACAACCCAAUCAUGGCUCCCUCCAUUUUAUGCUCCUUCCCAUAAAGCACUUAGAGAAGAAAAGAAAAAUUAAGUCUCUCUCCCUCCCUAGCCUUUAUUCUUUUAGCCAAGUUGUGACAAGCCACUGAUUUCGACCCCAUAAAUUAUUUAACGUUCCUCCUUCACGUUGGGAUUGGAAAAUCAAUCUCCCUGAUUAAAAAGUGACCAGCUUCACGUCUCCAAAUGUCUCUUUAAUCUUUUAAUUAUGUCUGCUUACAGUCAGCAUGUGUCUCCAAGAAGCAGAGGGCUGGAGUCUUGCUAACUUGGUUCAGCCAAUCUAUAAGUCUAUCGUUUUGUUUUUUUUUUUUUAGUGAACCAUCUGCUAUGGUUACUGUCAGGUAGGCCUGCUUUGAGAAAUACCACUAGAAGGUGAGAUUCUUAAUAAACUUCUAUUUCAAUGCCACAUGUAAAGUUCUGUUGUUUCUCUAUUCUCUCACUAAAUUAAAUAUUAUAGGAUCUAAGGGGAGGCUUAGCGGAUAUAAACACCAGUUUAAUAAAAAGCACCGAGGCAUGUGAAUGUUUGUGUAUAGACCUGAGAAGUCAAGCAAAACCCACCGUCAUAAAUAGAGCAAGCCAGAGUAACGCAGCCAAAAGUAUACAUUUGUAAAUUGACUCCCAGGCCAAGAUUUUCGGAAGAAGAAUUACCAUCACUUCAGCAACCCAAUUCUUCAUGAAAAACUGUUCUACUCUAAUGAGCCAGAUGAGAAACAGUCUCCAGAAGGCUUGUAAAUGUAAGCAACAGAUUAC